ACAAAAGUUAGGAGUAGAUGAUAUAAUAAUUAGAGGGAUGAAAUGGAAUAAGCUGCUUGAUCCUGACAAGAAGGGGCAGUGGUGGUUAUCCGGGGAUGUAACAACGACAUCAGAUAACGUCAAAGAGUUUGCCAACACUAUUGAUAAAGAGGUACUUGAAGCUCAAAAGAUGCUUCAGCUUGCAGCUGCACAAAGAAUGAAUACAG
rnacentral:misc_RNA from 1 species